AGUGAACGCUGGCGGUAGGCCUAACACAUGCAAGUCGAACGGCAGCACAGUAAGAGCUUGCUCUUACGGGUGGCGAGUGGCGGACGGGUGAGGAAUACAUCGGAAUCUACUUUUUCGUGGGGGAUAACGUAGGGAAACUUACGCUAAUACCGCAUACGACCUACGGGUGAAAGCAGGGGAUCUUCGGACCUUGCGCGAUUGAAUGAGCCGAUGUCGGAUUAGCUAGUUGGCGGGGUAAAGGCCCACCAAGGCGACGAUCCGUAGCUGGUCUGAGAGGAUGAUCAGCCACACUGGAACUGAGACACGGUCCAGACUCCUACGGGAGGCAGCAGUGGGGAAUAUUGGACAAGGGGCGCAAGCCUGAUCCAACCAUACCGCGUGGGUGAAGAAGGCCUUCGGGUUGUAAAGCCCUUUUGUUGGGAAAGAAAAGCAGCAGGUUAAUACCCCGCUGUUCUGACGGUACCCAAAGAAUAAGCACCGGCUAACUUCGUG
rnacentral:rRNA from 1 species